GCAGCAUGGAGAAGACUGGGAGUGUAACUCCGUUGACAAAGUACGGACGCAAAAUCCUGGGUUCAAACCCCCAGCAGCGUAUAAACUGAGCACUAUAGCCUAUGCCUGUGAUCCCAGCCCUUGGAAGGUGGAGAGAGCGGACUCACAAGUUCAAGGCCAUCAGUAGCUAUGCUGCAAAGUAGACCCGAAGCCCUGUCUCAAAAGUAAAAAACCAGGAGAUGAUUCCUAGGUGGGUGUCCAGCCCAGGGGUAGCAGUUGAUGAAUAGAAGCGAUUAUGGGAAGAAAAUGGGGUGAUGUGGGUCCUGGAUUUUUAACCUAGAUUGAAAGGAUUUGUUGUUAGUCAGCUUCUCUGUAGAGAUGGAGAAACCUGGGGAUUCAGAUGACAGAUGAGCGGGCCAAGUUACACAAUUAGCUACAAGGACCUUCAUCCAUGUGGGCAGCCCUUAGGCUGAAGCCUCUCACGAGAUCCAGGCCUGUCCAGUUUUCUCAGAAGAGUGGGUGUGUAGGAGUGCAUAGGUGAACCAGGCUUUAGCCAUCGUCCACUCUGCGGAUGCAUCCAAGGAACCUCAGGUCUAUGGACAUCCUCACUUGCAGUUCUGCAUUACAACCAUUAGAUGUCGCCACACAACAAAAAACAAGGUCUGCAGCAACCUGGGACUGCCAGCCCUAAGCGGUGGUUGGCCACUUUUGUCAGCUCCAGAAGCCCAGGAUUCUCUGAAAUUCUAUCUAGAACUUCCCUCCCACGUCUCUCCCCUGUACAGGAUCCAGCCACACAUACUCGGUCCCAGAAGCCAGGCUGAAGACCGCUCACCAUUUGCUGUUACCUUCCUGGCGGAGUGUUCACCGGAUUGCCAGACAUGGCCAUCAGAUCCAACUGUCACAAUGUUUACAAGACUGAAAACCAACUUGAGGCUUG
rnacentral:lncRNA from 1 species